AUCCGGUUUGUCGAAGAUGUAAACAAGUAGUCUUUCAUCUGCACCCGAAGAAUAGGCUGCCGAAGAAAGUGUUUCCUUAUCUGUAGAAUAUAAUCAUGUGGUCCCCUACCGAUUCUCCUUGGUCCCCUAUAGCGUCUCCACUAAAUCAGGCUCACCAACUUGGACGGCAGGCUGAUGUUUAUGUAAAAUCUGGUAAAUUUGAAGAGGCUUUGAACUGUCAUAAACGUGCAGCAGGUCAAGAGUUCUGUGCAAGGCACUUAAGAGACUGACUUCAAAUUUGAGAGCUUGUUUCCUAUAUAGUGUGAAUUGCAAUUUGCUAUGGAAGGUUUCAUUCAGAAUUAAUAUUGGAGAAGUAAUUGUGAAAAAAGUGUAUUUCAAAUAAUCUGCCAAUAAAACAGAGGGUAGGCUUGAGUGAAAAUGAAAUGAAAAUAAAAACACAAACCCAUUCACUCACACACACUCUCACACAUACAUAUACAUCACAGGACAUUAAAGUUU
rnacentral:lncRNA from 1 species